AGGAUAAACGCUGGCGGCGUGCAUGAGACAUGCAAGUCGAACGGACGAUCGAGGCUUGCCUUGAUCGUUAGUGGCGGACGGCUGAGUAACGCGUAGGUGACCUGCCCCGAAGUGGGGAAUAACUGCCCGAAAGGGUGGCUAAUACCGCAUGUGGUGGUGUGUUCAUUCACACCAGUAAAGCCGCAAGGCGCUUCGGGAGGGGCCUGCGUCCGAUUAGCUCGUUGGUGGGGUAACGGCUCACCAAGGCGACGAUCGGUAGGUGGUCUGAGAGGACGAUCACCCAGACUGGGACUGAGACACGGCCCAGACUCCUACGGGAGGCAGCAGUCGGGAAUUUUGCGCAAUGGACGAAAGUCUGACGCAGCAACGCCGCGUGAGGGAUGAAGGCCUUCGGGUUGUAAACCUCUUUUAUCAGGGAAGAUAAUGACGGUACCUGAUGAAUAAGUCACGGCUAACUACGCGCCAGCAGCCGCGGU
rnacentral:rRNA from 1 species